CCCUAUGGGGUGCAGCAGGCGCGAAACCUCUGCAAUGCGCGAAAGCGCGACAGGGCCACCCCGAGUGCUAGCCGCUGAGGUUAGCUUUUCCUUAGUGUAGUAAGCUAAGGGAAUAAGCGGGGGGCAAGCCUGGUGUCAGCCGCCGCGGUAAUACCAGCUCCGCGAGUGGUCGGGACGAUUAUUGGGCCUAAAGCGUCCGUAGCCGGCCUAUCAAGUCUCUGGUUAAACCUCAAGGCUCAACCUUGAGAUCGCUGGAGAUACUGUUAGGCUAGGGGGCGGGAGAGGUUGAGGGUACUUCGCGGGUAGGGGCGAAAUCCUAUAAUCCGCGAAGGACCACCAGUGGCGAAGGCGCUCAACUGGAACGCGCCCGACGGUGAGGGACGAAAGCCAGGGGAGCAAAGGGGAUUAGAUACCCCCGUAGUCCUGGCUGUAAACGAUGCCGGCUAACCGGGCUAGGUGUUGGGUUGGCUUCGUCCAACCCGGUGCCGCAGUGAAGACGAUAAGCCCGCCGCCUGGGAAGUACGGCUGCAAAGGCUGAAACUUAAAGGAAUUGGCGGGGGAGCACCACAAGGGGUGAAGCCUGCGGUUUAAUUGGAGUCAACGCCGGGAAUCUUACCGGGAGCGACAGCAAGAUGAAGGCCAAGCUGACGACUUUGCUAGAUGGGCUGAGAGGAAGUGCAUGGCC
rnacentral:rRNA from 1 species